rnacentral:tRNA from 1 species
CAGGGGAUAGAAUAAUAGGUAGUUUAAAGGAGUCAUGAUCCUUCGGUGUGGGUUCGAAUCCUACUCCCCGCA